rnacentral:rRNA from 1 species
UCUACGUGAGGCAGCAGUGGGGAAUAUUGCACAAUGGGGGAAACCCUGAUGCAGCGACGCCGCGUGAGCGAUGAAGUAUUUCGGUAUGUAAAGCUCUGUCAGCAGGGAAGAAGAUGACGGUACCUGACUAAGACUCCCCGGCUAACUCCGUGCCAGCAGCCGCGGUCAUACGGAGGGGGCAAGCGUUAUCCGGAUUUACUGGGUGUAAAGGGAGCGUAGACGGCGAUGCAAGCCAGAUGUGAAAGCCCGGGGCUCAACCCCGGGACUGCAUUUGGAACUGUGUGGCUGGAGUGUCGGAGAGGCAGGCGGAAUUCCUAGUGUAGCGGUGAAAUGCGUAGAUAUUAGGAGGAACACCAGUGGCGAAGGCGGCCUGCUGGACGAUGACUGACGUUGAGGCUCGAAAGCGUGGGGAGCAAACAGGAUUAGAUACCCGUGUAGUC